rnacentral:lncRNA from 1 species
GUCCCUUGUGAUGGUGAUCCGGUUUUGGAGAGCAGAGUUAUAGUUAUUGCUUCCAUCAUACCCCAUUCGUCCAGUCCACUCCAGCCCUUUUCCAGGAGGCUGACGGAACCAGUGCACACCAUUGCUUGUUAGAGAAAAUCCAGACACUGUGCAGGUCAGCUGCAGAGUCUCUCCAGGUCUUUUCAGCCCAUUGCCGGACUGUGUGAGGGUAAUUCAAGUUCAAGUUCAAGUUUAUUGCGGCCAAAGCCAGUGACACUAAACAUCCCAAGAUCAGACAACAAGAAAUCAGCAACAACUUCAGAAAAGAAAAAAGGUUACACAAGGGAACUUCGCAGUGUGCCAUUCAACAGAAGAGAUUUACGUUUCUUAAUUACUAAAGUGCAAAAUUUAGCCACCUCAUAUGAUACUGAGCUUGAGGAAUCUUCCAGGAGGUAUUUUCGAAGAAUUUCAGGGGAGGAUUCCAAAUAAUAUUGAAGGGGUAUAAAUUUUGAUAGAAGCGGUAAAAUAAGUUGAGCUCGUUCUUCACUAUAGAAUUCGCAAGAUAGAAGAAUGUGUGUGACAGAUUCUACCUUAUUAGACAUACAAGGGCAGAGACGCGCAUGCAUUGGAACCCGCGUGAAUUUGCCGUACAGCACUGCUGAGGGCAUUGUCUCAAAGCGGGCUCUAGAGAAAGCCCAUCUAUAGGCUUCGCUAGUGAUGUUGGUUAAGUAAGGGGCAGCUGUAAAAUUAGGCCAAGCUUUUAAACAUCUAUACGUCUCUGGGAGUAGGGCGCCUUCUUGUUGUAAUUCGAUAUCAUAAAGUCUCCGAGUAAUAGUAGCUUUUGCCUUGUUCAGAGUUCCAAUAAAAAUAUUUUCAGGGUUUAGGCCAAUUUGUUUGAUCUUGUUAGUUAUUUGCAUAAGCCAAGGAGGAUAGGGAACUGCGGCCAGGAAGCAAGGUAAUAGACCCUUAGGAUUGUAAUGGAUUUUCAGCCAGAGGGAUAUUGCUUGUUCCCAGACUUUUAAUUCCACUCUGGGCAAUCCUGCCUCUUGCCUUAAGACUGCAUUAGGUGUACACUUAGGGGUAGCAAAUAAUGCUCUUAAGAAUUUAGAUUGUACUGUUUCAAGGGUCUUAAGGUUGGCAGAGGGCUAAUUUGAGAGCCAUAUAGAAGUUGGGCUAAAGAUUUUGCCUGAAAGACUGUUAGGGCCAUCGGGAGGAAGCCAGCUCCUUUCCUUCUGAAUAAUCUAAGGAUAGCAUUUGCACUUCUUUCUGCUGAUAUAGCUGAUGUGGUCAAGUGUGCUGAGAAUUUGGCAUUAUAAGAGAAAGUAAUGCCUAAAUAUUGGAAGGUCUUAGUCUGUUCAAUGGCGUUCCCUUUACGCUCCAAUUAUCCUUCCUAAAGGAGCGGUUAAAAUGUACAAUUUUGGUUUUGGCAAAGUUAAUUGUUAACAGUUCAGUGUUACAUUGGUCACUAAACUUUCCUAAGGCACGUUUCAGACCCACUUUGGUUUGAGAGAGAAGAACAGCGUCAUCCGCAUACAUUAAAAUUGGUACUUUUCUGCCAUUAGAGAACACAGGGGGGUGGGUUUCAAUUUCACGGCAGCAUGUGACCAGGGAGUUAACAUAGAAGUUAAAUAGGAAUGGGGCUAAUAGGCAUCCUUGUCUAACUCCUCUUUGGACUAGGAUUUCUCUAGAGAGUCUGCCGUCCUGUGCAAGUCUUAUCUGGAGGGUAUUGUUCUCAUGAAGCUUAAUCAUCAGUGCACAUCAUAGCUUGUUAGAGAAAAUCCAGACACUGUGCAGGUCAGCUGCAGAGUCUCUCCAGGUCUUUUCAGCCCAUUGCCGGACUGUGUGAGGGUAAUCUGUGAGGAACUGU